UUCUUCGGGGUCGGGUGAAAGUCCCAACCGGCGGUAUAGUCCGCGACCUGUCGCUUUCGUUGAGCGGCGGCUGAUCUGGUGAGAUUCCAGAACCGACAGUACAGUCUGGAUGAGAGAAGA
rnacentral:ncRNA from 1 species